GAUGAAGAACGUAGCGAAAUGCGAUAAGUAAUGUGAAUUGCAGAAUUCAGUGAAUCAUCGAAUCUUUGAACGCACCUUGCGCCCUUUGGCCAUUCCGAAGGGCAUGCCUGUUUGAGUAUCAUGAACACCUCAACUCUUUAUGGUUUUCCAUGAUGAGCUUGGACUCUGGGGGUUUUGCUGGCUCACAGUCGGCUCCUCUAAAAUGAAUCAGCUUACCAGGGUUUGGUGGGUAUCAUGGGUGUGAUAACUAUCUACGCUUGUGGUUUUUCCACCAGGUAACCUUCAGCAGUGGAGGUUCGCUGGAGCUCAUAGAUGUCUCUCCUCAGUGAGGACAGCCCUUUGAAUGUUUGAUCUCAAAUCAGGUAGGACUACCCGCUGAACUUAAGCAUAUCAAUAAGCGGAGGA
rnacentral:misc_RNA from 1 species